CUGCAAUCUUGCAUUUUAAUAGUUGUUUUGACAACUGCCUCUGGUUUCAUAAGAAUGAAGACUACAAACUGCAAAUCAUCAAACCAGCCUUUUUUAUUAGCGGAUCUGAGCAUAAACCAAUGAUAUGAAGUUAAAUGAUUGUGGGAUAGGGACAAUAAAGUAGUUUAAUAAAAAUAGUCUUACAAUAAUUAAUACUUUGCUAAAGAGGCACAUCACAGAAAUUGACCUAUUUUAGUUUGGUUUCUUAAUGCAUUUUUUAAAAAAA